GUUAACGCUGGCAGUGUGUAUAACACAUGCAAGUCGAGCGCAUGCCGUAGCAAUACGGUAUGAGCGGCAGACGGGUGAGUAACACGUUGGGAUCUUCCCCGAAGUGAGGAAUAACCCGCCGAAAGGCGGGCUAAUACCGCAUGUGGUCGCAAGACUAAAGCCUCACGGCGCUUCGGGAGGAACCUGCGCAAUAUCAGCUUGUUGGUGAGGUAACGGCUCACCAAGGCUAUGACGUUUAGCUGGUCUGAGAGGAUGAUCAGCCACAAUGGAACUGAGACACGGUCCAUACUCCUACGGGAGGCAGCAGUGAAGAAUCUUCCGCAAUGGGCGCAAGCCUGACGGAGCAACACUGCGUGGAGGACGAAGGCCUUCGGGUCGUAAACUCCUUUUCUGGGGGACGAAGUUCUGACGGUACCCCAGGAAUAAGAGACGGCAAACUACGU
rnacentral:rRNA from 1 species